CAGUGUUUGAAAAAAGCAGUACUACUCGUCCUCCAGUAACUCCCAGCACAUCUGAUGAUGAUGACGCUGCGGAAGCAGGUCCAUCAAAAGAAGUCUGGAGCAGCAGAAGUGGGACUUCUGUAAGACAUCACCACAAAAAACCUGUGGCAGCAAAGAAAGCAAGGUCUGAUGUCCAGGGCCAACCACAGCAGGCUACCCCACCACGAAGAUUAUCGACAGUAUGUUCGGUCCCCCCACUCCAAAUUUUGGACACACCUCCAAGACGUCAUCCACACUCCCCUCAUCUUGAUUCUUCUAGUCCUGGUAACAGCAUCCCUCCGCAACAACAGCAACACCGUGACAUGGAGGAGACAAUCAUCUUAGAAAUGCAGCCAUUAAGCCAAGGAAUCAGCCCCCCAGCACCUGUACACCACCACAGCAAAGCACACCACCACCACAACACAGCCCAACAACACCAGUAACACAAGGCCCUGAUCAGGUGUUUUGGACCAUUUGGGCUAGACAGCAGGCCACUAAUGAAGAUUGCCUGCACAGGCAGACACAAAUGUUUGCAAGCCUACCAUGUCACCUCAGAAGAAUAACCAGAAAUAUGAGUAGACAAAAUGAACAAACAACCAGAAUUGGCAAUACCAUGGAACUCAUGCGUACAGACAUUACACAGGUCAUGGGCAACUUACAGCGCAUAAUGGAAGAACAGCACAGACUAAUGGAAGAACAGCACAGACAACAGCAAAGUUACAUGAACAUUUUUCAAAACAAUCAAAAGAUUCAUGAAAGUUUAUUCCGAAUUGUAGACAAUCAAAAUGCUGCUACACGUGAACUCAAUGCCACCCUCACUAACCUGAAUGAAACACUCAGAUCCAUGCACCAACAGCAAACAAGCAGCAGUUCUGGUACGACUACUCCAAAUAUCACGCCAGUCUCAUCACGAAGACGCUCCACCAGAGCACGACAACAUGACAGUGCUAAAGGCAAAGGGCAGGACAAGCAGGAACCCAAAAAAAAUUAACACAAAACAAACAAAUUUUACAUUUCUGAGAAGUAAUUCAAAAUAGUUAGUAAGCGUAUGUUUGGCAAAAUAUAUACAACACUUAGCUCCUUGACAAUUUAUACAACAUCAUUAAUUAUAAGUGGUA